UCCGCGCGACAUGACCGGUAGCAUUUGCUUCUUCGUCUUCAUCCAUGGAGAAGCUGAAGAAGUCGGCGAUCAGAAUCGCCUACGGAAGGGACCACGCUAAGCUCUCUUCUCUGCAACGCCUUCUCAUCCCCUUCCUCUACUUGGCGUCUGCUCUCUACAAGCUCCGUGAUCACUUCUACCUCUACGGCGUAUUUUGCAAGUACUGGGUUAUGGUGGUGGGGAUGAAGCCAAAAUGCUUAUAAGGCUUCUUGCUGGGAGUCCCAUUAAAGUAUGCAUUGGAGCAGACAGGAGAGCUUCUGCUGCUUGAACAAGUAGAUUAUUGACUGUGCACCAUGACUUGGAGAUCGUUGUGUUCAAUGGGAUAACAUUAUGGGGGAAAUUAUUACCAGUUGGACCUUUAAGAGAACCAUAAGCUGUACUCAAGAUAGCUGACACUGCCAUUAUUCAUCAUGCAAAUAUGAUAGGAGCAUAUCAGGUUGAUCGACUUGACUCGACUGAACUCGACUUUUGCAAUGACCAUCACGAUUGUAGCAUAACAUGUUGAUCGACUCAACUUGACUUCUUCAGUGACCAUCACGAUAGGAGCAUAUCAGGUUGAUCGGCUUGACUCGACUCAACUCGACUUCUUUAGUGACCAUCACAAUAAGAGCAUGUCAUGUUGAUCGAUCUCACUCAACUUGACUUCUUCAGUGACCAUACGAUAGGAGCACAUCAGGUUGAUCGACUUGACUCGACUCAACUUGACUUCUUCAGUAACCAUCACGAUAGGAGCAUAUCAUAUUGAUCGAUUUCACUCAACUUGACUUCUUUAGUGACCAUCAUGAUAGGAGCAUAUCAUGUUGAUCGACUCGACUUCAGGGACCAAUCACGUGUAUCAAGACAGGGUAACUAUUCUUCUGCUGCAAGUCUGAAAGAUCAUGUCACCUCCACAAACACUCCCAAUUACUUGUUUAGAAUUUUCCAAAAUUACUUGUUUGCCCUCGUUAUGAUAUCAAAUGGAACCUAAGGUAUACACUCUCAGUU